UUUAAUUUAGCAUUUUUGAUCAUUAAUUUUAAUGUUAAUGAAUAUCAUUUUAAAACCACUAAAAUUUGCUGAAGUUAAAUACGCGCUAACAAUUAUUGUUAUUAGAGUAAAAGCAUCUAUUAUGUACGUAAAUAUUCUCUUUUUUGUUUUGUUAUUUACUCUCUUUUCUCUUAUGUUUUUUCGUCAGUACUUCCUCUUCCCUCUUUCUCAUAACUAUAUUAUGCUCUCCUGGGUAUCAGCAGCUCUUGCUGAUAACCUAUCAAGGUGUCUUUAACAUUUGUGGCUCCCCUCCUAUGUUGAUUCUCUUUCAGACUCGUUAAAUCUAUUAUUAAAUUAAAUCUUCCGAGUGAUGUCAUAAUGGCGGCCAAGUGACAGCUAAAGAUGUGUCUACUUUUGAGCUGUUUACAUAAUGGUGGUGGAUGGUCUAUAACUCAAACUUAAAGCAAAGAAGAUUCCACACUCAGGAUCAUUAACCAAGUCAUUUUGCCUCAAUAAAAUUGUCUGAAAUAUUUUUAGAGCCUAGAUUUUACACCAGUCAUUCAGAGGCCACAGCAUCUUUAUUUCUUGUUGGAACAACUUUAAACUUCUGAAGUGUAUUCUUCUGGCUAGUAUGGGCAGGAAGCUGCGAUUGUCUAGAACACUGUAUGUAUGCAUCCUGGAAAGUCAAGGACGUCAGUUGCUUGCAGUUCUGUUAUAGUUAAUUUUUUUUUUACCAUAAAAAUAUCAACCAAUUUAAAUUGUUCUUUCAGUGUAUUGUAGGCGAAUUUCAUAGUAAAACUAUUAAAUGUAAGAUAAAUAUAACAUAAA